rnacentral:rRNA from 1 species
GCACAAGCGGUGGAUGAUGUGGUUAAUUCGAUGCAACGCGAAAACCUUACCCACCUUUGACAUGUACGGAAUCCUUUAGAGAUAGAGGAGUGCUCGAAAGAGAGCCGUAACACAGGUGCUGCAUGGCUGUCGUCAGCUCGUGUCGUGAGAUGUAGGGUUAAGUCCCGCAACGAGCGCAACCCUUGUCUUUAAUUGCCAUCAUUGAGUUGGGCACUUUAAAGAGACUGCCGGUGUUAAACCGGAGGAAGGUGGGGAUGACGUCAAGUCCUCAUGGCCCUUAUGGGUGGGGCUACACACGUCAUACAAUGGCCGGUACAGAGGGUAGCCAACCCGCGAGGGGGAGCCAAUCCCACAAAGCCGGUCGUAGUCCGGAUCGCAGUCUGCAACUCGACUGCGUGAAGUCGGAAUCGCUAGUAAUCGCGGAUCAGCAUGUCGCGGUGAAUACGUUCCCGGGUCUU